GUGGUAUAAACGAUUAAUAUAUUUGGCUGCUAACCGAAAGGUUGGAGGUUCAAGUCCACCC
rfam:Loxodonta africana unplaced genomic scaffold scaffold_19, whole genome shotgun sequence.